rnacentral:lncRNA from 1 species
AAAAGAGGCAAAAGACAUUCAUCCCCUGCCCUCAUCCUUGCUUACCAUCUAUAUUUCCUUCUUGUCUGUGUCCCUUUUUGUACUUCUUUCUGGUUUCUUCUGGGCAUUUAAACGUAUUCACUGGUGCAUUUUUUUCAUCAUACUUACCCAUAAUCCCCCAUUAACACUCCCCCUUCCUCCAAUAAUAUAUGUGUGAGAGAAACACAGAGAGAGAAAGAGACAGAGAUAAGAAAGUGACAAAGAUAAGAAGAGACAGAGAGAAAGAAUUAGUAACUAGAGAGAAAGGAGGAAUCAGGAAAGGCAAUGGAACAUCAAAGAAAUUGUAUAAAAAUGUAUGUCAAGAGAAGGAGUAGUUAGAGCCAGCUCUCUGGAGGGAGGAGGAAAGGGAGAGAGAGAGAAACAGUCUGGAUAUUAUGACUUUGGAAAAUGACUAAGGAGGAAGUCAUUCUUUAUUAUUGUCUGGCACCAUUUAACAUGUUGGGGCUGACGGGACCGCGAACUCAAAAGAGUCUGGAGACUUUCCUUGUACCUGGUGAGCUCCAUUUCCAUUUCUGCUAUGAUAUCUUGUUCAGUCAUUUUUCAGUCCUGCCUAACUCUUCAUGACCCCAUUUGGGGAUUUCUUGGCAAGUAUUUUAGGGGUUUGUCAUUUCUUUCUCCAGUUCAUUCUACAGAUGAGGAAACUGCAGC